UACAGAGGGUGCAAGCGUUAAUCGGAAUUACUGGGCGUAAAGCGCAUGUAGGUGGGUAUAAAAGUUUGAUGUGAAAGCCCUGGGCUUAACCUGGGAAUGGCGUUGAAAACUGUAUAUCUAGAGUCGGCCAGAGGGUCGUGGAAUUUCCGGUGUAGCAGUGAAAUGCGUAGAGAUCGGAAAGAACACCAGUGGCGAAGGCGGCGGCCUGGGACCAGACUGACACUGAGGUGCGAAAGCGUGGGGAGCAAACAGG
rnacentral:rRNA from 1 species